GAUGAACGCUAGCGACAGGCCUAAUACAUGCAAGUCGAACGGCAGCACAGCAGAGCUUGCUCUGUGGGUGGCGAGUGGCGGACGGGUGAGGAAUACAUGGGAAUCUGCCCAGUCGUGGGGGAUAACGUAGGGAAACUUACGCUAAUACCGCAUGCGCCCUUCGGGGGAAAGCCGGGGACCUUCGGGCCUGGCGCGAUUGGAUGAGCCCAUGUCGGAUUAGCUAGUUGGCGGGGUAAUGGCCCACCAAGGCGACGAUCCGUAGCUGGUCUGAGAGGAUGAUCAGCCACACUGGAACUGAGACACGGUCCAGACUCCUACGGGAGGCAGCAGUAGGGAAUAUUGGACAAUGGGCGCAAGCCUGAUCCAGCCAUGCCGCGUGAGUGAAGAAGGCCCUCGGGUUGUAAAGCUCUUUUGUCCGGAAAGAAAAGCGCCGGGUUAAUACCCUAGUGUCCUGACGGUACCGGAAGAAUAAGCACCGGCUAACUUCGUG
rnacentral:rRNA from 1 species